CAUCGGAAAGCCAAGACGUAAAGGAAGGCAUUUCACAGAAAAACCCAGCCCCGGCACUGGAAACCAAAGGCAUCAGGGAUGACGUUCUUGUUUUAAUCUUGAGAGAAAAUUCUAUUACUCCCUUAAAAAAAAAAAAUUGGCCUUUUACUUUGGACAUCCCAUGCACAGCACACAUUUUCCUAACCACAACCACCAGUCUCAUUUGACGACAAUCAGCGUGGCCUCCGCUGGUCACAUCUCCACUCCGAAAAUCCCUCAGCCACUAACUGAGCAGCGGCCCCCACCGGCUGUCGAGACGCUCCGUUCAUCCAUCCACGCGGGUUUCUGAGCCCUCCCGAAAGGCAGGGCUCCCGGACCCCGACUCAAACAAGCUUCCCACCCAAAAUUUCGCAAGAAGACCGGGCAGCAUUUUACUUUGAACCCUUCCUCCCCAAAAGUGAAUAAAAGCCUGUGUGUUAGGGUUUUUCUGACCCAGGUCACGAAAUUUCAGUCUUUUCCACUCCCAUUUUUACAAUUCUACUCAUGGCCUCAGAGGCUCUGUUGUGGUCACCCCCGAGAGAGAGCUCUCGUCAUAGCAUUUUUGGGGGCAGGUUAACGCAGAAGGUGAAAGAGAUCACAGUCAACAGCUUCCAGGAUUAAAAAAUAAAUAUAGGUGACAGCAGCUUUAAAAAACAAAACCUCCUUUUUGAAGCCAAAUAUAUUAUUUGCCAACAAAGUCUUUGGGUUAGGGGACGCAUGGAAGGGAGGGCCCCCCACACCCUGAUCCGGGCGACUCCUUCUGUCCUCCAUCCGCUUUGUAGGGGCAUCCAGACUGAGGACCCCCUAAGUUGGCCAGGGUCCUGGGCCAACUGUCCCAGGCCUUCCCAUUGUGCCCCAAAUGCUGGGAAGACCCGCUCCCUGACACUCUCCUCACAAGCCCCAGCCCCAUCAAUUCCUCCUCGGGUCCCUAACAUGAGCCUCGCUUCCCAGGGCGCCUUCCCGGCUACACUGAGACUGUGAAUUUAGCAGGAACCGAGUCCAGCUGCUCCAGCACCAUCCCGGCAGCCGCGAAGGCAAGAGGGAGGUGGCUCAUGGGUAGGCCUCAGUGAAAUUCUGUUCAUUCUAUUAAUUCAGAAAACAUCCAUCCAAGAGUUACAAACAUACCCUCUCCAGCUGGGGACAGUGUUUGAGGGUCUGUGUGUGGCUCUGCCAAGUCAGGCCAGACUCCAAUAACCUGCAGGCCGCUCCUGAGUUCAUCACAGAACGGGAUUUGGGGAGGAGUAAAGGACACCGGAGAACCACAAAUACUGUCCCAAAUCGCACUCGGCGGGCUCCCCCCAACCCUCAGGGACAGACCCUUCCUCUUCCAGUCCUGUUUUUCUCACUUGCACUCUGCCACCCCCCAGCAGACAAAGGCCAACAGGGCCUGGCCCGAGGGAGCCAUCCAGCCCAAGAGCCAAAACCCAGCUAUCUUUCCGGGGCUGCGAAUGUGCCCCUGCGGGUCUUUCAAAAGAAAUCACAGAAGAAAAAAGAAACUCGUGGAAGUUUAAAUUCCACUUGAUAAAGAAAGCCAGCCGUUCCCACUGAAGUUUCCCAAGAACCACGGGUGGGGACUUUCUUUCUUCCUUUUCUGUAAAUCUCGUCCCUGAGUUCUCAGGGCCCGCAACACCCAGACACUCGAGCUCCACUGUCCCAGCCAACGGGACACUGGUUGGCCCUGAAAAUAAAUAUUUCAUAUAAAAGGUCCAUUGUCUUCACUCGGAGACAAUUGUUACUUUUUCUCCCUCCUCGGCCGCAUAACAUCAGAAAAGCAUGGCUGAUGCCAUUUAUGGUUCUUUCUUGUUCCAACAAGAUGUUUUGAGAAAGGGCCAUCUUGCUGGGUCUUCCUGAACGAUCAGCUAAGAGAUAAAAUUCUCCCAAAGCCAGCAUUUUGGUAAACGUAGGCUUGUAUCAGGCUAAGGAACAAUUAGCCCAUCAGAAUGGUGAAACCCUCCCACGGAACUGCCACCCAUGUUGCCAGCAAGGAUGCUGGUGGCUGGCAUGGCCCCUCCGGACCUCGCAGUCAGGAUGUCUUGCCCUCAUCUUUCGGGGUCUGAGCCCCGGGGCCAGCACCCAGCUUCCACACAAGGGCCUUUCACUCCAGCGGCCCCAUCGCUGCCAAGGCUUGACCGAGGGCCCCCCGGAAUCAGCUCUCCAUAAACGCCGGACCAGCAGAAAAAAAUAAGAAGUAGCAAAGAUUUCGGAAGUGAGUGAAAGACUUCAAUUUUUCGACAAAGAAUUGUAGCUUCCAAACAAGCCUGCAAACACAUCUAACCUGAAAACAGACGUUUUCUCUUCUCGUUCUAUUCUGUUUUGGAUGCCUGCUAACGCUAUUUUACGUGUUCAACAAAAUUCUCUCUGGCAAACGGCCCGCACACCUGAGAUGAGCGGCUGUAUUUCACAAAUUCCAAGUUCCAGAAUCUUAACGACGGCCGUGGAGUUCUUGAAAGCUGGUGCGGCUUCGGGUUCCAGAGCGACCUCGUCCGUGUGUCCCCUCGUCGGUGGAAGGCCUGCCCUACAGAGGAGCUCUUCUUAGAAAUCCCUUCAUUAAUAUUUAAAUAGCCACUAAGUAGCGAAAGUGAGAAAUGCACUUACCGUUCUCAGGAGUCGCCUUGAACCCGAUCGCGACCCGGGGCGCGCAGGUCGACAGCCGUGCCCUUGCUGGAGGAACGCGCUCGGAAGCAGCCGGCGCUAGGCUGCCGUGCCCGCGGCUGCAAAGGCCCUGGGUCAUCGGUCUGAGUCCUGGGUUCCAAAUGCUUCCCUCCUUCAGGCGCCGAAACGGCAGAGAGCAGAGCGAUGCCAUCUCCCGCAACUCUCCGCAGCGGGGACGGCUCCGGGGCAGCGCCGGCGAAGCGCACGGCCAGGCCCCACUUCCCCGGUCCCGCAUCGCGCCGCUCCUCUUUCUCCCGGCUCCGGCUUUCCUGGAUUGAACGACCGGACCUCAACGAAGAGUGGCCCGCAGUACCUGGUCUCCGUGUCUGCGACCAGCGCCGCGAGGACCUUUGUCCCGGACGAAAACGAAAGCGCGCCUGGCGGGGGACGCCCACGCCCUGCCGCGGAGGUCCGGGCCGGCGCGCCCCGCGACUUUCUCCAAGUUCACGUGCAUCCCGGGGCGGGCGGGCCGGCGCCGCGGGCCCCAACUUGCAGCGCCGGGCCGUCGGGCGCGCUGCGGGUUGCGGCCGGGCUCGGGGCGGCCGGGCGGCGCGGGCCGAGGGCACAAUGGGCGCCGCCGGGCGACCGCGGGGACAGCGCGGGCCCGGCCUCCGCGCGGCCGCUCGUCUGGCGCGGCCCGGGCGCCGAAUGCGGCGGCGGCGGCUUGGCACAGACGCGCCGCGCGCCCGGUGCAUGCUAAUGGCCGGCGGCCGCGCCAUGAAUUAUUCAGCAGCGGCGCGGAGAGGGUGAGCGCGGCGCGGAGGGCGGCCCGGCCCGAGCGUCCCCCGCCGCUGCGAAGCCGCUGCGGCGAGUUCCCAAACUUUCCCCGGUCGGCACCGAGGAUGCGGCCCCCGCGGCGCCUCCGUCCCCGCCCGAGCGCGCCGGCCGCGCUUCCCCCGUUGCCGCCUAUUUUAUGUCUUUUGUCUCGGAGUUGGCACCUGUCCCAGAGAGCGCGUUUCCCUGCCCACCCCUUCGCCGCCGGAUCGAGGCAGGGGAGGGGGUACGGGAGACCCGGAGAGGAGGGGACGGUGGGGGGAGCAAGGCGCCUCUGGGCCCCGCAGCUCCGGGAGACCGCCCGGGGGUGGUGGCCGUGCCCGCGCACCCUGGCGCCCCUGUUCCGAGGGGAGGUCAACACUUUGGCUGUGCCCAGAAUACCAACGAGGCCUCCCGGGGCCCCCGGCCAUGCCCGCUACGGGCGAGGACGGGGCGCGGCCCCUUCCCGCUUCCCCCCUCCGCCGCGCACCCUCCUCUUCGGGCCGGCGCGCGCGGGCGGGGCGGGCGGGGCGAGCAGCGGAUUCGCCGCCCGGGCCCCGCGCCUCGUCCCGCAGCCCCGCGUGCGCGCCCCCGCGGGCAUGCCGCCCCGGGCGCUCCCCGUCCGCGCGCCCCCGGCCCGCGGCCCCUCCCGCCUGCCCGUGCGGGGCAGGGGGCACCGCUCCGCAGAGACCCAUCAGCUUUCUGCUUCGCCCUCUGGGGCCUGCGCGCCCGAGGGGCGCGGACAGGCGCAAGCCCCGGCCCUAGCCCGCCCUCGCCGCCCUGGCACCGAGGCAGCUGCCGAAGCGUGCUCGGCGGCUGCGCUCCGAGGCGCCGGCUGCCAUGAUUGCGGGCAGCAGGGCGCGCGCGCGCACGCUCGGGCCCGGCUAGGGGAUCCCGGGCGGACCGACGGUCCCUGGCCUGACCGCAGCCCCGUGCGCGCCGCGGACAGCAGCCACAGUCGCCGGGCUCGUCCCUGCGAGGCCGCUGUGCGCCAUGGAUCUCCAGACGAGGUCCCAGGACAGAGAGACAACUUCCUGCUCCCCUGGCCCAGGGCGCAAGACCUGCGGGAAGAAGUUCUAGGCCGCAGCUUUGCUCUUUCGGAGCCGGACGACUACGCUGUUGCCCCCUGGCAGCGCGGUUCCUCCCCGCGCCCUUCCCCGGGGCCGCGACCGGCUGGACUCCAGGGUCCCGACACUGGUUAGAAUGCCAAGGAGGCUGAAGCAGCUUUUCCUGCAGCCUCCGCAGGGGCGCCUGAGUGGUUUCCCCGCAGAGGGGCCGGCCUGGGCCUCUGGUGCUGGGGGACGCCAACACGAGGUCACUGCGCUCGGACCCCCUCCCCCAGCUUGGGCAUGCCCUCGCCCAGAGUCAGAUGGACCUGGCUGUCCCCAGACGCCUGCGACGGGGGCCCAAUUGAAACGAGGCCUCCUGGGCCCCAUCCCAACGUUUCUGUGCCUGUCUCCCCCCCAGCCCCCCACCCCCCAAGCCGGCCUUGGCAUUCUAACCAAUGUCCCUUGACGUCACAUCUCGCCAUUUCCGUCAACCAAUUGAAACUUCCCCGUUGUCAUAAAAAUAUAUAUACUUUUUAUGCCAUUGGUAAAUUCAAAAGUUCCUCGUGUGCCCUGCUUCCCAGGAAACUCUACUUCACGUUGGAUUCACUGCUCAGGAAGAGAGAAUGGCCACAUGGACAAGGCUGGGCUGGGGCAGCUGGAGCAGCUCUCCCAGGGCCUCAGCUGCCCACUGGCCCACCUUCGAGACACCCUGGACCUCAUCCUCGAAUUGUGCUGGACACCCCCACACCACUGCCACUACUCUAUGACAUACAUGAUUUUGAGGCGGGAAAGGGAGGGAGGGAAAAAAACCCAGGAUAUAUUAAGAAAUCUCCCCAAAUUGCUUUCCUUGGUGUUAGACUCUUACUGUGGCCUCUCCUUUCUAGGGAUAGCUUUUUUUCCUAUGAGAAAAUUCAGCUUUUGAAAAUGUAGUAGACAUGCUUUCCGGUUAAUCUUUUCACUGAAAUCCUGACCAACUUUCACUUUCCAUAGCUGCUGACAAGGAGCAGAGACAGCCCAAACAGGGGUGAUUUCACAGUGGGGUGGGUUUCACUCUUUCCCUGAGGAAGGUCCAGGCUGGCUCUCCCAGUUUCGAGGGCUAGGGGGGUCCAGAGCUGGAAGCCCAGGAAUUCUGUGUUCCUCCUUUCUCAGAAAAAGAUGGUUCUCUCAGCAGUCUGAGCCUCGGGAAUGCCAUACCCACAUUCUAGCAAUACGCACGCAGGGAAAAACAAUCUCUCGUCUAGCAUAGUCCUUUGUAAUUUUCUUCACUAUUAUAAUUCCCAGCCCGACUGGGAUGUGCAGGGUGAGCAAACACGUCCCCACGAGAUGAGUAUGUGCAGGGCAGUCCCAAAAACCACACAGAACCCGCUAUCACCCUCCUCCUGCUCCGGCCACACCAAGGAAGAACCCAGCCACUAACGGCCAUUAUAAAUUCCGCCUGUCCCUCAUCUUAACGGUAUGGCUCAACUACUUUAGAAAACAUAUUAAAGAUAUUUUGUGGUUUAGCAAACUUGAGGACUCCAGAACAACAAAACUGCUUUGAAACUAGGCUGAAUGCAAAGAUCUAAACAUCAGAAGUAUCGGGCCCUUUUAAUACCGAAUCUUGUUUUUCCAAAAUAAUGAGCAAGCUCGGUAACAACUGAACGGGGAUUUUGAAAAUAAAUAUAUGGUUACUGUUCUCACGUAAAACCGUUCCCAAGUGCAAAACUCUGGAAACACUGCAUACCUUUGAGAUAUGUUCACACACACAUAAAAAUAUUGCAUCCACCAACCACACUAUAAUCUAUUUAUAAUCACUUUCCUAAACACUAUAAAUAUUAUAACUAAUGUGAUAUAUGUUUUGUGAUUAAAUGGGUGGAUUAAAACAUUGAAUUAAAAAAGCCACAAAGAAAAAGAGAUUAUCUUCCAUUAUGCCACUUACAACUUGUGUUCCAUUGGCACAAAUACAAAUUUGACGACUGUAUCAUUACAAUGACUAAAUGCCAGGAUAUUAGCUUUGCAAUUUCCACCUGAAAUCAUUGUAUAAUCAUACCGGCUUACUAACCUUUUUAUUAGCUGAUUUAUCUUUCCUUGCUCUCACACACAGUAAUAAGUUAAUUUAAUGCCUUUUUCCUCCUCCCAACUUUUAUUCGGUAAAACAAGAAAUUGGGUGAGUCAGAACAAUAUUCAAGAACACACACUGUUUUUUUUUUAAUCCCCUCUAUACUCGGCAAGAAUUUACAUAUAAUUUGGUUGCAAAUUCAGAAAUCAAAUUCUGCUUGAGUCAAGGAAAAUAAUAGGAUUCAGGUAAUUCCAAUGGAAUUCAGGAAUUCCAUUCAGGUUGGUUUUUUAAAGUCUUUUUCUAACUCGCUAUCAUAUUAUAUUAUUCAAAAUAAAUAAUAUUAAAAAGUGUGCUCAAAUUAUCAAAAAGGAAACCUGGAAAAUUUACUUUGUUGGUGAGCCUUAUGAUGGACAAGUUUCCCGAAGGCAGAACUUGGUCUGAGCUCUGGGCCACACCAGAAAAAUAAGUCAUAGGAAGGCUCUUGCUGUCCCAGGAUGUUUAUAGUAUCAGCCUUAUACGGUUAUUUUUUCCUGAUUUCUCCCAAGAUCUGCCUAAUGGGAAUGCAACCGGCAACUUCCUGCUAUGCCCCCCAGCCCAUGCGUCCCCGCUCAGGCUUCGGCCGCACUUCAGCCUCAGAAGGCUGGGGGCACUCGGGGUUUUCUUAUCUCAAUGUAGUGACAUUUAAUAAUUUAAAAUUUUUCGUCUCCAAGGCAUUCCGAGGACUUCGUAAACAGAUGCAUCUAGUCUAAUUAAAGCAAGUAGGAUGAGCGUAACUGAAAGCUUACAUUUUCACAUUGAUUUUGAACAUCCAACCUGCACACCCAAGAACAAUGAUGUUUUUAAAGCCGGCCCAAGACAUUUGAGAUGGCGAGCUGGUGGCAGCUCCUGAGUAAGAUGCCACUUCUUCAGUCCUCCCAAGGCGUCCUUUGGAGGAGUCGCUAAGAAGCUAUAUUUUUUUUUUCUUUUGCCUUUGUCUCAAAGUAGUCUGCAGCUUUGGGAUUCCAUUUUGACAUGCCUAUGUCGUAAUCACUUGUACUCCCACUUUACGAAGGGUCCAGUUUUGCUCUCACUUAUUUACGCACAAACCUAUCAUCAUCAGUUCACCUUGGGUAAGCAUUUUUGUUUUCUUAUGCAGAUAGUUCAGGAAGAGGAGAGGGAAAAGAAGCCGACUGGCUUAGACAGAAGUCAGACAGAGUUUACAGGGUCUCAGGCUGGGCAAGGAAAAGUGAGGCAGCAUCCACAGAAAGGGUUCUUCCUUCCAAACGUAAUGAAGGGUUUUUCCGAAUCUUUCGCUUCAGUUCACUCAGUUUCAUGUCAAACUUGGCAUUAGUUAACUAACAACAGAAAUGAAACUCUGGCCACAGGACAAGCGUGUUUGCGGAACAAAGCACCGGGCAGGAGGAGGCAUUAGCAACCCCUCGCCCUCUAAAAACCAGCACCUGCCAUACCAGUUCUAUACCUUCUUUCCUUUUUAGAAAAAUAGAAAGGACACAGUUAGAGUGCCUGCAGCCGGCAGUGAUCAACAGCAUGCCCUCUGUUCCCUCCUGACCGAUGGGCAGUAACCCCACAACUGGGCAAUCACACGUCUGCUUAGAAACGGUCUGUGAGCUGCUGUUUCACCAUAUUUUACACAAUUUGGAAGUCCACACAUUCACUUUUCAUCAUGUGUUACCUGUGUAUGUAUAUAUAAAAAAAAGUCUAACAACCCGGAAAGCAUUCUUGAGGGGUUAUUAUUUUUCAAAUAAAGGAGAACAUAAAACAACUAGACGUCUACGAUAAACAUGUGUUCAAUUAUAUAUAUAAAUAUGGAAAUAUACUGUAUGUAAUACAUACAUGCUGGCAUGAAAAUUUUCCCCUUACGGAUGAGGAAUUACGAUUAAUAUUUUCCAUUCCAAUGUACUAACAACACAAAUCAGAAAAUGUGAAUUGAGGCUGACGGGCCAAGAUCUCCAGUUCUAUAUGCGUACAUCAAAUGCCAAAACUUGAUUCUUGGCUUCAUAUCAGGAAUGAGAAAAAGCACAAUACAAGCUAAAUUUUGAAAAAAUCAAAAUUACCUUUCAAAGAGAAGUGGGUGCUGAAUUUAUUUUAAUCUCUCAAUCCUGCAAUUUCUAAAAUGGAAUCAUCAUAAAUUUAGAGAAAUUAACAUUUUUCUAAAGAAUUUAUCAUGCCACUUAUAGGAAAUGUUUAUUAGCAAUUAAAGAUAUAUAGAAUUUGGAGUUUAACAGUUUCUGGGAGAAGGAGGUACCGAUUUCCACGAAAAUGAAAGGACAUCAGAAAAUUUGAAAAGCAUUUCAUUCCUCAAAUGUCCAAAGAAUGCCUUCCUUUCACAGUUGCAAAGCACUGAUUUAUUUGAAGUAUUUUUGCAUCAUAUCAGUCCUUUAAGGGGCCUGAAAUAGUCGUUAUUUUAAUGACCCCAUAUGCUUUUUGAAUUACAUCUAAGCAGAAUUUAGAUAUGAAAAAUUUAAAGCAAUUUUAAACUUUAAAAACUAUCAAAUGUU
rnacentral:lncRNA from 1 species